GUUCUCGUACGACCACCGAAGUUAAGCAACAUCGAUCCUGGCCAGUACCUAGAUGGGUGACCGCUUGGGAAUACCAGGUGCU